AGAUGCAAGAAUUUUCUCCCACUGUCUUGUCUGAAAGAAAAGUUGGCAAAAGUGACGGCUUUUGUGGAGAUUUCUCCUUAUUGCUCCUUGGUCUUGAAUCUCUCCUGCUUGCAGAAGAGGUGUGCCAACUAAUGCUCUUCCUCUGGUGGACAUGACCAAUCUGUUCAUGCAUUGGGCCUCAACAGUUGUUUUUGGGAACUCUAUGCUACUCUAUACCAUUCUAUACCACAGGUAACAUUUAGGGUCCCUGUGUUGUUUAGAAGCACUAAUUUUAAAAUUAAUUAAGUUGUAAAAAAAAAAGUAAAAGAAUUGUAGUCACUUUGCUUCCUCAAUAACCAUCAGCAUACUCAGCCUCUGGAAACCUGUACUGUGCAUCUCCAUCAACAUUUUUACAAGGUCCUAGCUGAUUUUACCAGAAAAGUGGUGCUAUUGACCCAUUUUAAACUAACAAAACACAUCUACACUCUGAGCUAUAUUCACAUCUGUUAUGUGCAUGUUGUAUUUGUGGACUGUUGCAUUUGCCUAUUUCUCAGUUGCUCAAAAGCUGAUGUAAGAAGCUAAUUGAACACUACUAAAUACAAGAGGCAGGUAUUUACUCUCUUUGAGCUUACUGCUUUUUUUUUUUCAAUAGAGCUGAUCUUUUUUUUAGCUUUGUGAUCACAUAGAGAUGUCUCUUCCUGAUUUCAGUGUGUGGAGAGGGAUUAAUUGCUUGGGAACAGCUCAUGAAAUGGGCUUAACUCUACAGUAUUGAUUUCCUUAUUCAAAGACCCACUUGGAUUCCUCAUACUUUCAUACUAGAAGUAGCUGAAGAUGGUAAUGAGGAAUCUGGCAGUACCUGGCAGUUACUGUUUUGAUUUGGG